UACAGAGGGGGCAAGCGUUGUUCGGAAUUACUGGGCGUAAAGGGCGCGUAGGCGGCCUUCUAAGUCGAACGUGAAAUCCCCGGGCUCAACCCGGGAACUGCGUCCGAUACUGGAAGGCUUGAAUCCGGGAGAGGGAUGUGGAAUUCCAGGUGUAGCGGUGAAAUGCGUAGAUAUUCGGAAGAACACCAGUGGCGAAGGCGGCUCACUGGCCCGGUACUGACGCUGAGGUGCGAAAGCGUGGGGAGCAAACAGG
rnacentral:rRNA from 1 species